rnacentral:rRNA from 1 species
AUACGGCGGAUCCGAGCGUUAUCCGGAUUUAUUGGGUUUAAAGGGUGCGCAGGCGGGAGGUUAAGUCGGCGGUGAAAAUUUGGAGCUCAAAUGUGAAAAUGCCCUUGGUACUUGGUUCCUUGAGUGUGGAUGGAGUAGGUGGAAUUUUGGGGGGUGCGGUGAAAUGCUUAGAUAUCACGAGGAACUCCGAUUGCGCGGGCAGCUUACUAAACCACUACUGACGCUCAGGCACGAAGGCGUGGGGAUCAAACAGGAUUAGAUACCCUGGUAGUCCACGCAGUAAACGAUGAUUACUGGCUGUUUGCGAUACAAUGUAAGCGGCUGAGCGAAAGCGUUAAGUAAUCCACCUGGGGAGUACGUUCGCAAGAAUGAAACUUAAAGGAAUUGACGGGG